rnacentral:rRNA from 1 species
AACGAACGCUGGCGGCAUGCCUAACACAUGCAAGUCGAACGAAGCCUUCGGGCUUAGUGGCGCACGGGUGCGUAACGCGUGGGAACCUACCAUCAGGUUCGGAAUAACAGUUAGAAAUGACUGCUAAUACCGGAUAAUGUCUUCGGACCAAAGAUUUAUCGCCUUUUGAUGGGCCCGCGUAAGAUUAGAUAGUUGGUGGGGUAAAGGCCUACCAAGCCGACGAUCUUUAGCUGGUCUGAGAGGAUGAUCAGCCACACUGGGACUGAGACACGGCCCAGACUCCUACGGGAGGCAGCAGUGGGGAAUAUUGGACAAUGGGCGAAAGCCUGAUCCAGCAAUGCCGCGUGAGUGAUGAAGGCCUUAGGUUGUAAAGCUCUUUACUGGGGAUGAUAAUGACAGUACCCAGAGAAUAAAGCUCCGGCUAACUCCGUG